UCCCAGGUGGCUCAGAUGAUAAAGACUCUGCCUGCAAUGCAGAAGAUUCAGGUUUAACCCCUGGAUUGGGAA
rfam:TPA: Bos taurus chromosome 6, whole genome shotgun sequence.